rnacentral:rRNA from 1 species
AGAGUUUGAUCCUGGCUCAGAUUGAACGCUGGCGGCAUGCCUAACACAUGCAAGUCGAACGGCAGCAGCACCUAGCUUGCUAGGUGGCUGGCGAGUGGCGGACGGGUGAGUAACGCGUAGGAACCUGCCCUGAAGAGGGGGAUAACCCGGGGAAACUCGGGCUAAUACCGCAUAAAGUCUACGGACCGAAGGUGGCCGGGUAACCGGCUGUCACUUCAGGAGGGGCCUGCGUUAGAUUAGCUAGUUGGUGGGGUAAAGGCCUACCAAGGCGACGAUCUAUAGCUGGUCUGAGAGGACGAGCAGCCACACUGGGACUGAGACACGGCCCAGACUCCUACGGGAGGCAGCAGUGGGGAAUAUUGGACACUGGGGGCAACCCUGAUCCAGCAAUGCCGCGUGUGUGAAGAAGGCCUGCGGGUUGUAAAGCACUUUCGGUAGUGAGGAGAAGCAUUGGUUUAAGAGACGAAUGUGGAGACGUUAACUACACAAGCAGCACCGGCUAACUCUGUGCCAGCAGCCGCGGUAAUACAGAGGGUGCGAGCGUUAAUCGGAGUUACUGGGCGUAAAGGGCGCGUAGGUGGUGAUACGAGUCAGAGGUGAAAGCCCUAGGCUUAACCUAGGAAUGGCCUAUGAUACGGUAUGACUAGAGUCGCGGAGAGGAUGGUGGAAUUUCCGGUGUAGCGGUGAAAUGCGUAGAUAUCGGAAGGAACACUGGUGGCGAAGGCGACCAUCUGGAAGCAGACUGACACUGAGGCGCGAAGGCGUGGGGAGCGAACAGGAUUAGAUACCCUGGUAGUCCACGCGGUAAACGAUGAGAACUAGCUGUUUGGACGUAAGUCUGAGUGGCGCAGCUAACGCAUUAAGUUCUCCGCCUGGGGAGUACGGCCGCAAGGCUAAAACUCAAAGGAAUUGACGGGGGCCCGCACAAGCGGUGGAGCAUGUGGUUUAAUUCGAUGCAACGCGAAGCACCUUACCUACCCUUGACAUUUUCGGAAGGCUUAAGAGAUUAGGCCGUGCCGCGAGGAGCCGAAGGACAAGUGCUGCAUGGCUGUCGUCAGCUCGUGUCGUGAGAUGUUGGGUUAAGUCCCGUAACGAGCGCAACCCCUAUGUCUAGUUACCAUCAAGUCAAGUUGGGGACUCUAGAGAGACUGCCGGUGACGAACCGGAGGAAGGUGGGGAUGACGUCAAGUCAUCAUGGCCUUUAUGGGUAGGGCUACACACGUGCUACAAUGGGCUGUACAGUAAGAAGCGAAGCGGUGACGUGGAGCGAAACUGCAAAGCAGCUCGUAGUCCGGAUUGGAGUCUGCAACUCGACUCCAUGAAGUUGGAAUCGCUAGUAAUCGCGAAUCAGCAUGUCGCGGUGAAUACGUUCUCGGGCCUUGUACACACCGCCCGUCACACCAUGGGAGUGGGUGGCACCAGAAGUGGAGAGUCUAACCUUCGGGGGGAUGUUCACCACGGUGUGAUUCAUGACUGGGGUGAAGUCGUAACAAGGUAGCCGUA